rnacentral:rRNA from 1 species
UGAGGAAUUUUCCGCAAUGGGCGCAAGCCUGACGGAGCGACGCCGCGUGAGGGAUGAAGGCUUUCGGGUCGUAAACCUCUUUUGCAAGGGGAAAAGGUUUGUAUGCUAAUACCAUGUAAACUUGAUGGUACUUUGCGAAUAAGCCCCGGCUAACUACGUGCCAGCAGCCGCGGUAAUACGUAGGGGGCGAGCGUUGUCCGGAAUUACUGGGCGUAAAGGGCGUGUAGGCGGUUGAAUAAGUCUGAUGUGAAAUGCCGGAGCUCAACUUCGGAAUGGCAUUGGAAACUGUUUGACUGGAGUUCGGUAGGGGUGACUGGAAUUCCUGGUGUAACGGUGAAAUGUGUAGAUAUCAGGAGGAACACCUGUGGCGAAGGCGGGUCACUGGGCCGUAACUGACGCUGAGACGCGAAAGCGUGGGUAGCAAACAGG